AUGGCUUUUUGUUAUAGUAACAGGAAGAUCUUUUUUAAGGUUCUUGUAAUCCUUUUCUUCAUUCUGGUCGUUUCUUCUCAGCUUGGAUUUGGCAGCAGGCCUUUGCAAGAUCAAAGAUUAAUGUUGAAGGAAUUUGAUGGACUUUUGUUGCAGUUCCUUCGUGGCCCUUCAAAGCCAUCAAAAACAGAUCCUAUUCAUUCCUAA